UUAGAGUUCGCUUCUGGCUCAGGAUGAACGCUAGCGGCAGGCUUAACACAUGCAAGUCGAGGGGCAGCGCGAGUAGCAAUACUUGGCGGCGACCGGCGCAAGGGUGCGUAACACGUGAGUAACAUACCUGUAUCAGGGGAAUAAGCCAUGGAAACGUGGUCUAAAACCGCAUAAUAUGAACUAUAGGCAUCUAUAGAUUAUUAAAAUUACGAUGGAAACAGAUUGGCUCGCGGAACAUUAGCUAGUUGGUAAGGUAACGGCUUACCAAGGCGACGAUGUUUAGGGGUUCUGAGAGGAAGGUCCCCCACACUGGAACUGAGACACGGUCCAGACUCCUACGGGAGGCAGCAGUGAGGAAUAUUGGACAAUGGAUGGAAAUCUGAUCCAGCCAUGCCGCGUGAAGGAUAAGGUCCUAUGGAUUUUCAACUUCUUUUGUAUGGGAGCAAUAAGGUCUACGCGUAGACUGAUGAGAGUACCAUACGAAUAAGCAUCGGCUAACUCCGUGCCAGCAGCCGCGGUAAUACGGAGGAUGCAAGCGUUAUCCGGAUUUAUUGGGUUUAAAGGGUGCGUAGGCGGAAGGAUAAGUCAGCGGUGAAACGUACGGGCUCAACCCGUGAACUGCCGUUGAAACUGUUCAUCUGGAAUGCGGAUGCUGUGGGAGGAAUGUGUAGUGUAGCGGUGAAAUGCAUAGAUAUUACACAGAACACCGAUUGCGAAGGCAUCUCACAAAACCGCGAUUGACGCUGAGGCACGAAAGUGUGGGGAUCGAACAAGAUUAGAUACCCUGGUAGUCCACACAGUA
rnacentral:rRNA from 1 species